GCUGGUCAUGUAGCUCAAUUGGUAGAGUACUUGCCUGGCAUGCACAAGGUCCUGGGUUCAAUCCCCAGCACCAGGCA